rnacentral:rRNA from 1 species
GUUCGGUCUGAAGCCAGAUUGAACGCUGGCGGGAUGCUUACACAUGCAGUCGAACGCGGCACGGACGGUCACGGUGGCGAGUGGCGAGCAGGUGGGUAAUAUCCAGGUACGUGCCUAGCUAGCGGGGAUAACUACGCGAAAAGCGUAUGUACACGCAUACGCCCUUCGAAAGCGGGGACGCUUCAGGCCUCACUAUUAGAGCGGCCGAUAUCGGAUUAGCUAGUUGGUGGGGUAACGGCUCGCCCAAGGCGACGAUCCGUGGCCCCGGUUUCGAAGGACGACCAACCACGCUGGGACCAGAACACGGCCCAGACUCUACGGGAGGCAGCAGUGGGGAAUUUUGGACAAUGGAAACACAGUCCUUCAUCCCGCGUGUGCGAUGAAGGCCUUCGGGUUGUAAAGCACUUUUGGCGGGAAAGAAACGGCACGGGAUAAUACCCCGUGCAACUAAUGACCUGCAAGAUAAGCACGGCUAACUACGUGCCAGCAGCGCGGUAAUACGUAAGUUAAGCGUUAAUCGGAAUUACUGGGCGUAAAGCGUGCGCAGGCGGUUCGGAAAAGAAGAUCUUAAAUCCCAGAGCUUAACUUUGGAACUGCAUUUUUAACUACCGAAGGCUAGAGUGUGUCAGAGGGAGGUGGAAUUCCGCGUGUAGCGGUGGAAAUGCGUAAGAUAUGCGGAGAAGACACACCGAUGGCGAAGGCGGCCUCUGGGGAUAACGCUGACGCUCAUGCACGAAAGCGUGGGGAGCAAACAGGAUUAGAUACCCUGGUAGUCCACGCCCUAAACGAUGUCCAACUAGCUGUUGAGGCCUUCGGGCCUUGGUAGCCCGCGGCCUAACGCGUGAGAUUGACCGCCUGGGGAGUACGGUCGCAAGAUUAGAAAACUCAAAGGAAUUGACGGGGACCCGCACAAGCGGUGGAUGAUGGACAAUUCCGAUGCAACGCGAAAAACCUGCCUUGACGCUGUCUGGAAUCCCGAAGAGAUUUGGGAGUGCUCGCAAGAGAACCGGAACACAGGUGCUGCAUGGCUGUCGUCAGCUCGUGUCGUGAGAUGUUGGGUUAAGUCCCGCAGAAGCGCAACCCUUGUCAUUAGUUGCUACGAAGAGGACACUCUAAUGAGACUGCCGGUGACAAACCGGAAGGUGGGGAUGACGUCAAGUCCUCAUGGCCCUUAUGGGUAGGGCUUCACACGUCGCUGCAAUGGUCGGGACAGAGGGUCGCCAACCCGCGAGGGGAAUAAUCCGAAACCCCGAUCGUAGUCCGGAUCGCAGUCUGCAACUCGACUGCGUGGGAAGUCGGAAUCGCUAGUAAUCGCGGAUCAGCAUGUCGCGGUGAAUACGUUCCCGGGUCUUGUACACACCGCCCGUCACACCAUGGGAGUGGGUUUUACCAGAAGUAGUUAGCCUAACCGUAAGGAGGGCGAUUACCACGGUAGGAUUCAUGACUGGGGCGUCGUAACAAGGUAG